AGGAAGGUUCUUCUUUAUUCCCUUUUGGGAAGGGACCCCCGGGGGUUAUUAGCUAAGUUGGGGGAGGUAAAAGGCUCCACCAAGGCCAGGUGAUUCGUAGCCCGCCCUGAGAAGGGUAAUCGGCCCACAUUGGGGAUUGAGACCCGGCCCCAGACUCCUACGGGAGGCAGCAGUAGGGAAUUUUUCCACAAUGGACGCAAGUUUGAUGGAGCAACGCCGCGUGAGUGAAGAAGGGUUUUCGGCUCGUAAAGCUCUGUUGUUAAAGAAGAACGUGGGUAAGAGUAACUGUUUACCCAGUGACGGUAUUUAACCAGAAAGCCACGGCUAACUACGUGCCAGCAGCCGCGGUAAUACGUAGGUGGCAAGCGUUAUCCGGAUUUAUUGGGCGUAAAGCGAGCGCAGGCGGUCUUUUAAGUCUAAUGUGAAAGCCUUCGGCUCAACCGAAGAAGUGCAUUGGAAACUGGGAGACUUGAGUGCAGAAGAGGACAGUGGAACUCCAUGUGUAGCGGUGAAAUGCGUAGAUAUAUGGAAGAACACCAGUGGCGAAGGCGGCUGUCUGGUCUGCAACUGACGCUGAGGCUCGAAAGCAUGGGUAGCGAACAGGAUUAGAUACCCUGGUAGUCCAUGCCGUAAACGAUGAUUACUAAGUGUUGGAGGGUUUCCGCCCUUCAGUGCUGCAGCUAACGCAUUAAGUAAUCCGCCUGGGGAGUACGACCGCAAGGUUGAAACUCAAAAGAAUUGACGGGGGCCCGCACAAGCGGUGGAGCAUGUGGUUUAAUUCGAAGCUACGCGAAGAACCUUACCAGGUCUUGACAUCUUCUGACAGUCUAAGAGAUUAGAGGUUCCCUUCGGGGACAGAAUGACAGGUGGUGCAUGGUUGUCGUCAGCUCGUGUCGUGAGAUGUUGGGUUAAGUCCCGCAACGAGCGCAACCCUUAUUACUAGUUGCCAGCAUUAAGUUGGGCACUCUAGUGAGACUGCCGGUGACAAACCGGAGGAAGGUGGGGACGACGUCAAAUCAUCAUGCCCCUUAUGACCUGGGCUACACACGUGCUACAAUGGAUGGUACAACGAGUCGCGAGACCGCGAGGUUAAGCUAAUCUCUUAAAACCAUUCUCAGUUCGGACUGUAGGCUGCAACUCGCCUACACGAAGUCGGAAUCGCUAGUAAUCGCGGAUCAGCAUGCCGCGGUGAAUACGUUCCCGGGCCUUGUACACACCGCCCGUCACACCAUGAGAGUUUGUAACACCCAAAGCCGGUGGGGUAACCUUUAGGAGCUAGCCGUCUAAGGUGACAGAGUUGUCGG
rnacentral:rRNA from 1 species